rnacentral:rRNA from 1 species
AGACGAACCGCGCGAACGUUAUUCGGAAUCACUGGGCUUAAAGCGCGUGUAGGCGGAUCGGAACGUCGGAUCCUGAAAGCCCCCGGCUCAACCGGGGAAGCGGGGCCGAAACGACCGGUCUGGAGGGACGCAGGGGGAUCUGGAACUUCCGGUGGAGCGGUGAAAUGCGUUGAGAUCGGAAGGAACGCCGGCGGCGAAAGCGAGAUCCUGGACGUCUACUGACGCUGAGACGCGAAAGCUGGGGGAGCGAACGGGAUUAGAUACCCCGGUAGUCCCAGCCGUAAACGAUGAGCACUGGGCAGGGGGCCCUCCGACGGGCUCCCCGCCGCAGGGAAACCGUGAAGUGCUCCGCCUGGGGAGUAUGGCCGCAAGGCUGAA